rnacentral:rRNA from 1 species
AUGCCCGGCUCCACCGUGGUGCUCAUCGGCGCCUUCAUGGCCGCGCUUCUCGCCGUCUCCCUCUCCACCGUCGUCCUCUGCUCCAACCGGCGCCAGGCGUCACAGCAGAGCGUUGUCGACUUCGAGCUCGGCCUGGGGCAGCCGUGCCCGUGCGGGAUCGACAAGGCCGCGUACCCGACAACAGUGUAUUCGUCGGCUGCGAGCCAGAUGGCUGCCGCCGCCACGUCGGUUAAAGAAGAUGGCCGGGCGCCGGGAGACACGACGUGCGCGGUGUGCCUGACGGAGUAUGCAGACGGCGACGACCUCCGGUGGCUGCCCAGGUGCCGGCAUGCGUUCCACCGGUCGUGCGUCGACGAAUGGCUGCGCCGGCGCCCAAGCUGCCCGCUCUGCCGCACGUAG